GAUGAAGAACGUAGCGAAAUGCGAUAAGUAAUGUGAAUUGCAGAAUUCAGUGAAUCAUCGAAUCUUUGAACGCAUCUUGCGCUCCUUGGUAUUCCUUGGAGCAUGCCUGUUUGAGUAUCAUGAGCAAACCUCAAAGUCAAUUCCUUUUGUUAAUUCAAUUGGUUUUGCUUUGGACUUGGGGGUCUUGCAGAUUUCACAGUCUGCUCCUCUUAAAUGCAUUAGCUGGAUCUCAGUAAUUAUGCUUGGUUCCACUCGGCGUGAUAAGUAUCACUCGCUGAGGACACUGUUAAAAAGGUGGCCAGGAAAAUACUGAUUGAACCGCUUCUAACGGUCUAUUAAGUUAGACAAUUACCCUUAAGUUUGAUCUCAAAUCAGGUAGGACUACCCGCUGAACUUAAGCAUAUCAAUAAGCGGAGGA
rnacentral:misc_RNA from 1 species